rnacentral:rRNA from 1 species
ACAUACAGAAGUGCUAGCAGAAGCGGUAAACAGUAUGAGGCAAGCGUUAAGCGGAACUACUAGGAGUAAAGCCUGCACAGGCGUGGAGUUAAGACAGGGGGUAAAGCCCCAGCCUUAACCGGGGAUCUGCAUUUGUGACUGCAUGGCUGGGGUGCGUCAGAGUGGGAUGGAAUUCCGAGUGUAGCAGUGAAAUGCGUAGAUAUGCGGAGGAACACCGAUGGCGAAGGCAAUCCCCUGGGCCUGCACUGACGCUCAUGCACGAAAGCGUGGGGAGCAAACAGGAUUAGAUACCCGGGUAGUC